rnacentral:rRNA from 1 species
AUUGAACGCUGGCGGCAGGCCUAACACAUGCAAGUCGAGCGGAAACGAAGGGAGCUUGCUCCCAGGCGUCGAGCGGCGGACGGGUGAGUAACACGUGAGAAUCUGCCCAUUAGUGGGGGACAACUCGGGGAAACUCGAGCUAAUACCGCAUAAUCCCUACGGGGGAAAGCAGGGGACCUUUUGGCCUUGCGCUGAUGGAUGAGCUCACGUCAGAUUAGCUUGUUGGUGAGGUAAAGGCUCACCAAGGCGACGAUCCGUAGCUGGUCUGAGAGGAUGAUCAGACACACUGGGACUGAGACACGGCCCAGACUCCUACGGGAGGCAGCAGUGGGGAAUCUUGGACAAUGGGGGCAACCCUGAUCCAGCCAUGCCGCGUGUGUGAAGAAGGCCUUCGGGUUGUAAAGCACUCUCAGCAGGGAGGAAGGCUUUGGCCGAAUAGGUUGAAGUACUUGACGUUACCUGCAGAAGAAGCACCGGCUAAUUUCGUGCCAGCCGCCGCGGUAA